CCUGCCCUUAGAGGCGUUGUAGGUGCGGCUGCUGUGUGGCAUGUGGGUCAGUGGGUGGCAGAGAGGAUAUGUCUGCGUCUGUGCUCUUUUCUGACCUGUGAACAUUUGAAUGACCAGUAGCCUAACAUU